rnacentral:rRNA from 1 species
GAUGAACGCUGGCGGCGUGCCUAAUACAUGCAAGUCGAGCGAACAGACGAGGAGCUUGCUCCUCUGACGUUAGCGGCGGACGGGUGAGUAACACGUGGAUCACCUCCCUAUAAGACUGGGAUCACUUCGGGAAACCGGCGCUAAUCCCGGAUAAUAUAUUGAACCGCAUGGUUCAAUAGUGAAAGACGGUUUUGCUGUCACUUAUAGAUGGAUCCCGGCCGCAUUAGCUAGUUGGUAAGGUAACGGCUUACCAAGGCAACGAUGCGUAACCGACGUGAGAGGGUGAUCGGCCACCCGGGAACUGAGCCACGGUCCAGACUCCUACGGGAGGCAGCAGUAGGGAAUCUUACGCAAUGGGCGGAAGCCUGACGGAGCAACGCCGCGUGAGUGAUGAAGGUCUUCGGAGCGUAAAACUCUGUUAUUAGGGAAGAACAAAUGUGUAAGUAACUAUGCACGUCUUGACGGUACCUAAUCAGAAAGCCACGGCUAACUACGUG